AAAUACUCUCCAACAAAGAACAAUGGGAUACACAAAAAUGAAGUUUCAGAAUACAGAGGUGAUGAUAGUUCACCUAAAGGAAGAAAUGAAGGUUGGAGUUCUUUUCAAGAUCAUUUUGACAAGAGGAGCCCUCGUUAUGAAGAUGAUGGAUAUGAGACUCAGCCUUCACACCACUGUGAUGAUGAUGGAAGUAUGGUGAUGAGGAAUGUCCAUGAGGGCCCUAAAGAAAGACACUCUCCCUAUUCCUUCCAAAGCAACAGGAGAGUGAGAUGGCACAGAGAAGGCAAUAUCCAUGUUACUGUCUGGGGAAAUGGAAAACCUGUGAUGAGAGAGAUGAGGGAGAACCCACAAGAUGGUGCCCAAGGGAGCUGGUUUAAGGUCACAAUUCCUCAUGGGAUAAAGUAUGACAAGAUAUGGCUAAUGAACUCAAUCCAGAGCCUUUGCAGUGUCUACUUUACUCCAGUGGAUUUCCACUAUGUGAAAAAUGGGGCUCGAUUCUUUGUCCAGAAAGCUAGCACUGCCUCUGCCUUGAUGGAUGUCAGCUACAAGAUCUAUGAUGAGAAGAACCAAAAGAUACCUAUCUUUGUCAACCCUUCUGCUGUUCCCUACUCUGUGCGUAAUAAGCUGGGACCAGAAAAAAUGGAGAAGCUAAAGCUGGCCUUUAGCAAACGAUUUGAUGUCUCCCAGCAAUCUCUUGACCUCCAGAAGCUCCGCUUUGACCCAAACUUGGUGGGCCAUGAUAUUGAGAUGAUUCUGAAUCGAAGAAACUGCAUGGCUGCUGCCCUGCAGAUCAUCAGGAAGAACUUCCCUGAGCUAUUGUCCUUGAACCUGAGCUGCAAUAAACUGUACCACCUGGACGGCCUGUCUGACAUUGUGCACAUGGUCCCCACAAUCAAGAUCCUGGACCUCUCCAAAAAUGAGCUGAACUCUAUGUGGGAGUUGAACAAGAUGAAGGGGCUGAAGCUUGAAGAGCUGUGGCUGCAAGGGAACCCACUGUGUGACAGCUUUCCAGACCAGUCCACCUACUUAAGUGCCAUCAUAGAAUGUUUCCCAAAGUUACUGCGCCUGGAUGGCCAGGAGUUACCUUCACCAGUUGUCAUUGCCAGUCACACUCCCUGUGCGACGAAGCCCAGCAAGGAAACCUGUAAAGAAUCUGACACACUGAAGAAUAUGAUCCUUCAAUUCCUGAAGCAAUAUUACUUGAUCUAUGACUCUGGAAACCGAUCUGGUCUCCUCAGUGCUUACCACCACAAGGCCUGCUUCUCCCUGACCAUCCCAUUCCACUCUGAGGAUCUGGCCCUAAGCAGCUUAUGUGCAUACUUCAAAAACAGCAGGAAUAUGAAGAAGGUCAAGGACCCCGACCUGCGUGUCCAGCAGUUGAAGCACACAAAUAGUGACAUUGUGCGUGCCCUCUGUGUGUUGCCCCAAACUCAGCAUGACCUCAGCUCCUUCCUGGUGGACAUGUGGUUCCAGACAGGUACGCUGCUCUGCUUCUCUGUCAAUGGGGUGUUCAAGGAAGUGGAAGAAGGGUCUCAGGACUGUGUGCGUGCCUUCACCCGGACCUUCAUCAUUACCCCUGCCAGCUCUUCAAGUCUUUGUAUAGUGAAUGACGAGCUGUUUGUGAUGGAAGCUAGCCCUAAAAACACCCAGAGUGCAUUCUCCAUCCCAGUGCCCACACCGUCCACCAGCUCUGUGGCCACUUUAUCCGAGGAGCAGCAGCAAAUGGUACAAGCCUUCUCCACUCAGUCUGGGAUGAACUGUCAGUGGUCUCAGAAGUGCCUUCAGGACAAUGAAUGGAACUACACCAGAGCUGGUCAAGUCUUCUGUAUGUUCAAGACCGAGGGCAAGAUCCCAGAGGAAGCCUUCAAAGAAAUCCCCUAA
rnacentral:lncRNA from 1 species